UACGUAGGGUCCGAGCGUUUGUCCGGAAUUACUGGGCGUAAAGAGCUCGUAGGUGGUUUGUCGCGUUGUCCGUGAAAACUCACAGCUCAACUGUGGGCGUGCGGGCGAUACGGGCAGACUGGAGUACUGCAGGGGAGACUGGAAUUCCUGGUGUAGCGGUGGAAUGCGCAGAUAUCAGGAGGAACACCGGUGGGCGAAGGCGGGGUCUCUGGGCAGUAAACUGACGC
rnacentral:rRNA from 1 species